GAGGGCCUCUGUCCUGGGCAGCAGGGGACACACUGCCAUUCCCUUUGGUCAGGGUUGUGCUGGAACUUGAAACUCCUUCCUCAGCCUCCCAGAGCGCUGGAUUAUGGGCGUGCACCACCAGGUCGGGCCUCCUUCUGGUCGGCGUGUCACUCUGCAACUGGAGAAGUGACAGGAACAAGCUCCAGCGCCUCUGUCAGCCACUCUCCGCCCUGCUCCGGCUGGCACGGCUGCUGGAAGGGGCGCACGAGGCGGACAGAUUCGGGAACCGCCAGCAGCAGCUGUCUGCCGUGGUCGAGAACCGAGGGACUGGCCGGCUCGUGGGCCUCCUGAGGCCAAGCAGGAUCUCCUAGAAAGACCCUCCUUUGAGAUGGAGGAAGGGCCUGUCCCCCAGCAGCUCCUGCGGAGUCGGACUCUCGCUGACCGCCCCGCUGCAGCUUUUCACCCCUGUACCAGUCCCGGCUUCCUCGGCUGCCACCCCAUCCUGGAGAGGAUGAACAAGUUUGUGUUCAUGCUUUAGUGUCUGGCCUUAUUUGUCCUUAAAAGCUCCGUUCAAGCAAGCUACUGGGACUUAUGGGGGAUUUUCUUAAAUAACGUAAGGUCUGAGGCCAUUCAGCUUUCAAAAGAUGGGGCCUUCAACCAUGGCCCAGUUCUGUGGGUGCUCGAGUCACCAGGCCCUGGAACCCUCCCAGGCCCAGCUCGGGGGACCUCUGGAGCAGAGACCCAGGAGGGCGGGGCCAGAGAACCGCACCCCUGAGGCCACUCCCUGUGCGAGGUGUCUCCCCACCGCAUCCCAAAAGCCUUGUGGAAACCAAGCCAGGUGUCUCCACACAUUCCGUCACGGUCAGCACCCAAGACUUCAGAUUUGCUUCUCCUGUGUGGGGAGGGAGGGGGAGGUGUGUAAACUACCCCCAUCCCUGUUCCCCUCCAGACUUAAGGGGGGCCGGAGCCCUCCCUGCCACAAAACAGCCAUCAGAGCUGCAUCCCCAAAGUUUUGGCUUCCCUGGACCAGAGCUCCUAGAGCGGAAAGUUCUGUGUAACAAGCAUCUGCUCCUGACAACAUGAGGCAGCCCAUAGCCGCCAGAGACUCACGCUUCACACGCAAGUCCGGAGGGUGAGGUCAGAGAUGAAGCGUGGCCAGGAUUCCAGGCGAGCAGAGACACGCAGAGCAGCCCGGUCUCGGGACAGCAGCUUUUCAGUGGAUGGAGCGUCUGCGCUGAGACUUGAACACAAGGCGUGAUGUGAGGUGGGGUUCUGGGCACACCCCACAGCCUGGAGGAACCGAAUUAGCAAGAGUGCAUCGUGCUUGGGCAGUGACCAGCAACAGAAUGCACCGUGCAUGGGGCAGGCAGCACAACGGCCACAUCAGGACGCACCUUUGAGGUAGGAUGGGACCGACCGGCCCCCAGUGAGACAGAAUGUGUCACAGGCCACAAAACGGCACAGCCAACUGUCAGAGUGAGGUGUUGUCUAAAAAGAGAAUGCGCAGAAUUCAGGCCCCAAAGUGACUCCAGGUGGACGGCUCCUGAACAUUGUUCGCGGGACGGAUCAGAAAAGUGCUCUCUCAAAUCCUUCAUUUACACAUUAGCUAAGCCAAUCAAAGACACUGUCCUUGAUCCUUCAUCUACAUCUGCAUCUGCCAAGAGGCCCAGAAAAUUUUUCCUUAGGAAAAUUCACAUUAGGCAUGAGGCCAAGUGGGUUUUUGAUAAAACAAUUUUACCAGUGCCAUAUCUGCAUGAGGUGGUGGCCAAUCCAGGUCUUAGAUACUAAAUAUUACCGUCGGGACAGCUGUGAACUUUCACCAGCCCUCUCUUUCCCUGCAUAAUUUUUUUUUUCUGCCUUCAAUAAAACUACACCCUC